UUUCUAAAAUCUUGAAUGAUUAGAAUAAAGGUUAAAGAAUAAAACCUAGAUGAGAAUUUAUUUAAAAUUUUCAAGAAAAACCUAUAUGGUUUGAUAUUCGAAUGAGAAUAGAGAAAAUAUGGGUUACAAAAUUCCAAAAACCCUAGAAAUGAAUCAAUAUGUACUUGGAGGAAUAUCAAGAAUAAGGUAUUACGAUACCUGUAAAUUCGAUGUGAA
rnacentral:lncRNA from 1 species